ACAAGCGGAUGAUGUGAUCUCAAGGGAACUCCUGUUGAUGAUCCUAAGUUCCUAAAUUUACAUUAUGAAAAGUUGCAGUUAGAAUAAAAUCAUAUAUUAAAUGUACGAGUAUGUAAUAGGUAUGAAUUAAACAAAUAACUUAACUUAAACACUGAAGGUAAUUCAACUAAAGAAUAAAAUAAAUCAUGAUAACAUAUACUCAUAUAAUGCUC
rnacentral:lncRNA from 1 species